rnacentral:rRNA from 1 species
AUGUCCUCCUCACGCGUCCUCCUCUCGAGCCCGCACGGGGUUGCGAGCCGGACCUUCACGAGAGCGGCGCCGGCCCACCUCGCCGCGCCCUCGAUCCCGUUCGCGCGCUCCGGCACUCUCCGCGCCCGGACCGCGAUCCUGUCGUCGCCGGCGGCCACUGUGCCGGUGACCUCUACUGAGCCGAAGCGCCGGAUCUCGCGCUCCGUGUCGGACUCGGCGCCGCGGGCGAAGCCUGCGGUCCUGGUGGCGGAGAAGCUGGGCGAGGCCGGGCUGGACGUGCUGCGUCAGUUCGCCGACGUGGAGUGCGCGUACGGCAUGUCCCCGGCCGAGCUCCUGGCCAAGGUGGCGCAGUUCGACGCUCUCAUCGUGCGGAGCGGCACCAAGGUGACGAGGGAGGUGCUGGAGGCGGGGCGCGGGCGGCUGCGGGUGGUCGGCCGGGCCGGCGUCGGGAUAGACAACGUGGACCUGCAGGCGGCGACGGAGGCGGGGUGCCUCGUCGUGAACGCCCCCACGGCCAACACCGUCGCCGCGGCGGAGCACGGCAUCGCGCUGCUCGCCUGCAUGGCCCGCAACGUCUCGCAGGCGGACGCCGCGCUCAAGGCCGGCAAAUGGCAAAGAGCCAAGUACGUUGGAGUUUCCCUAGUUGGAAAGACUCUUGCCAUCAUGGGCUUUGGAAAGGUUGGCUCAGAGGUGGCAAGGCGAGCGAAAGGGCUAGGGAUGCAUGUGAUUGCCCAUGACCCCUAUGCCCCGGCCGAUAAGGCCCGUGCCAUUGGAGCAGAGCUGGUGUCCUUCGAGGAGGCCAUCGCCAAGGCAGACUUCAUCUCCCUCCACAUGCCGCUCACCCCGGCGACAUCCAAGGUCUUCAACGACGAAUCCUUCGGGAAGAUGAAGACCGGCGUGCGGAUCGUCAAUGUGGCCAGGGGCGGAGUGAUCGAUGAGGAUGCUCUGGUCAGGGCACUGGACUCCGGCAAAGUUGCUCAGGAAGGCGUCGCCAUCGAAAUUGCUGAAGCCGUCGGCGGCGCACUGAGAGGUGAGCUCGCAGCGACCGCCGUGAAUGCUCCCAUGGUCCCAGCAGAGGUCAUGUCAGAGCUAGCUCCGUAUGUUUCCCUGGCGGAGAAGCUGGGGAGGCUGGCAGUGCAGCUCGUCGCCGGGGAGAGCGGCAUCAAGGGCGUCAAGGUGGUGUACACCUCAGCCAGGGACCCCGACGACCUCGACACGAGGCUCCUCCGGGCGAUGAUCACCAAGGGCAUCGUGGAGCCCGUGUCCAGCACCUUCGUCAACCUCGUGAACGCGGACUACACGGCGAAGCAGCGCGGCCUGCGCAUCGCCGAGGAGCGGGUCUCCCACGACAACGCCGCCGCCGAGGCGCCGCUGGAGUCCAUCCAGGUGCGCCUUUCGCACGUGCAGUCCAGGUUCGCCGGGGCGAUCAGCGACGGCGGGGACAUCGUCGUGGUCGGCAGGGUCAAGUACGGCGUGCCCCACCUGACCGUCGUCGGGGCCUACGAGGUCGACGUCAGCCUGGAGGGGAACCUGAUCCUGUGCCGGCAGGUCGACCAGCCCGGGAUGAUCGGCAAGGUCGGGAACAUCCUCGGGGAGAAGAACGUGAACGUCAGCUUCAUGAGCGUCGGCCGCACCUCCCGUGGCAAGCAGGCGAUCAUGGCCAUCGGCGUGGACGAGGAGCCGGACAAGAAGACGCUCGAGAAGAUUGGGGCCAUCCCGGCCGUCGAGGAGUUUGUGUUCCUCGAGCUAUGA